rnacentral:rRNA from 1 species
UACGGAGGAUCCAAGCGUUAUCCGGAUUUAUUGGGUUUAAAGGGUGCGUAGGCGGCCUAUUAAGUCAGGGGUGAAAGACGGUAGCUUAACUAUCGCAGUGCCUUUGAUACUGAUAGGCUUGAAUGUACUUGAGGUAGGCGGAAUGUGACAAGUGGCGGUGAAAUGCAUAGAUAUGUCACAGAACGCCAAUUGCGAAGGCAGCUUACUAAAGUAUGAUUGACGCUGAGGCACGAAAGCGUGGGGAUCAAACAGG